GGUUCUAUGGUGUAGUUGGUUAUCACGCAAGCUUAACAUGCUUGAGGUCUCCAGUUCGAUCCUGGAUGGAAUCA